rnacentral:rRNA from 1 species
UUCCGGUUGAUCCUGCCGGAGGCCAUUGCUAUUGGAGUCCGAUUUAGCCAUGCUAGUCGCACGGGUUCAGACCCGUGGCGAAUAGCUCCGUAACACGUGGCCAAACUACCCUAUGGAUCGGAAUAACCUCGGGAAACUGAGGCUAAUACCGAAUACCGCUCUCACGUUGGAAUUACAGAGAGCACGAAACGCUCCGGCGCCAUAGGAUGUGGCUGCGGCCGAUUAGGUAGACGGUGGGGUAACGGCCCACCGUGCCGAUAAUCGGUACGGGUUGUGAGAGCAAGAGCCCGGAGACGGUAUCUGAGACAAGAUACCGGGCCCUACGGGGCGCAGCAGGCGCGAAACCUUUACACUGCACGAACGUGCGAUAAGGGGACUCCAAGUGCGAGGGCAUACAGUCCUCGCUUUUCCCUACCGUAAGGUGGUAGGUGAAUAAGAGCUGGGCAAGACCGGUGCCAGCCGCCGCGGUAAUACCGGCAGCUCGAGUGAUGGCCAAUAUUAUUGGGCCUAAAGCGUCCGUAGCUGGCCGAACAGGUCCGUCGGGAAAUCCGCUCGCUCAACGAGCGGACGUCCGGCGGAAACCAGUCGGCUUGGGACCGGAAGACCCGAGGGGUACGGCCGGGGUAGGAGUGAAAUCCUGUAAUCCUGGCCGGACCACCGGUGGCGAAAGCGCCUCGGGAGGACGGAUCCGACAGUGAGGGACGAAAGCUUGGGUCACGAACCGGAUUAGAUACCCGGGUAGUCCAAGCUGUAAACGAUGCUCGCUAGGUGUGGCACUGGCUACGAGCCAGUGCUGUGCCGUAGGGAGGCCGAGAAGCGAGCCGCCUGGGAAGUACGUCCGCAAGGACGAAACUUAAAGGAAUUGGCGGGGGAGCACUACAACCGGAGGAGCCUGCGGUUUAAUUGGAUUCAACGCCGGG